rnacentral:rRNA from 1 species
UACGGAAGGGGGCUAGCGUUGUUCGGAAUCAUCGUGGGCGUAAAGCGGCACGUAGGCGGAUCUUUAAGUCAGGGGGUGAAAUCCCGAGGCUCAACCUCGGAACUGCCUUUGAUACUGGGGAUCUCGAGUCCGGGAGAGGUGAGUGGAACUGCGAGUGUAGAGGUGAAAUUCGUAGAUAUUCGCAAGAACACCAGUGGCGAAGGCGGCUCACUGGCCCGGAACUGACGCUGAGGUGCGAAAGCG